CCCCUCGAAGGGCUUUAAACUCGGCCGGCCCCGCCCGCCCUCCCCGCCUCCGCCUCCGCCGCCGCCGCCUCCGCCUCCUCCCCCGGCCGCUUUUCCUGCUCCUCCUCCCGCCGCCGCCGCCGCCCGGACCGCUCGGCGGCCGCCAGCGCGGGAGGAGCCGCGGCCUGGGCGCAGGGCGUGGCGCGGGGCGCGCGGGCCCAGCCGCCUCGGGGGCCUGACGCGCCCGGAGCCUUCUGCCCCGGGCCAGCGCACGGGAACACCUCCUGCUGGCCCCCGGGAUCCCCCGACACCGAACCGCGACAGCCGAGCUCCGGCGGCUGCCCCAACGAAAGACAAAUCCGACCCGUCCCGAAAGGCAUUUUGUAAACGAAUUGUUUGAAACUCAAAAAGUGUUAACUGUACAAUCCAAAUCCUUUAACGCGGGCGAAGCGAACGAACAGCGGCUGGCGGUCCCUGGCCCGGUGAAAGGCAACCUGGGUUUGUUCACAGGCGGUCAAGUCUGUGGCCUCGCUUCUCCAAGCCUCAGUUUCUUCGUCUGUGUGUGAGUAUUGGAGUGCGGGCGAAGUGAGAAGCCCUUCAUUUUUUCUUAAUGCUGGUGAGCCUCAAUGGCCUUAUCUUCGAAGUGGGGGAAUAAUGCCAGCCUAUAGAGUGAUGUCCCGGGAUUCAAAGAGGUCAUACCGGGAACAUAAAAUGACUGCUCAACAGACUCCGGAAUUAAUGGAAACCAUUGUCAUAAAUAUGAUCCUUAAUGUCUCUAUCUUGUCAAAGUUGCAAUACAGAUAGUGUGACGAUGAUUAUGUCUCUUUCUGGGUCUUGGAGUUAUAAAAACACCUAUUGCAAUAAAUUACCUUCGUUGAGCAAACACUUUGUGCAAAACAUUCAAGAAUGCUCCUUUUUAACCCUCACUCUGGUCCUCUGAGUUGAUUCCUAGGAGAUAUCUACUGUACAGACCCGGAAACUGAAUCUCCAAGUGAUUUCCGAAGGUCAAGUAGCGGACUCCCAAACCAUCUGCAUGUGCACCAGUAUUCCAAAUACGUCAGUUCUUCAAACCCUCUAAACCAAAGAAGAUAGAUCCUGCCUCCAGAGUCCAGAUGUGAAGAGACUGGUCGUGUUCAAGGAGGGCUUUCCAGUGAUGGUGAUGCCUCCGUGGAGUCCUGGGACAUCAAACAUGGUGUUGCAACCAGGGAGUCCUAACUGGAAGGAUGCUGGUGCCAUGAUGUUUGAACUUUCCAGUCUUCAGAACUAUAUUGGGAAUAUGAAGAUCCUCAAGCAAGAUAAAGAUGUUCCUUAUGGAGGCUGCAUGAGCUGGCAUGAGUCGUCAUGCCUUAGAAGAAGGGGACGAAGCCCCAGGAAUUUGUGGACACAGGAAAGUUCGUUUGAGCACAAAGUGAGAAGGCUGCUGCCUAUAAGCCAGGAAGAGAAUCUUCACCAGGCUCCAGCCACGCCGGCUCCUCGAUCUUGGACUUCCUGCUUCCAAACUGUGACAAUAUGCAUUUCUGUUGUUUUAGGCACACAGCCUGUGGGAUUCUCUUAUGGAAUCCUGAGUUGAUGAAUACAGGGGCAGAGAGGUAUGAGCCUAGGAUAUCCUUACAAAUGAGAAACACUGAAAAUAAUUGACAUAGCAGUGAUCUCUACUAAAGAGGGUGAAAUAAAAAAAAAAAACCGCAAAGAAACAGAAUGGCAGAAUACAGGUUGAUAUAAUAAGUAGCAGAUACUUUCAAUUCUCUUUUCCUAGCUUUAUGCUAUUCUAAUUGUUUAGGGGGGUUACUUUUUUAUUUGUUUCUUUUUAGAUAUGCAUGACAGUAGAAUGUAUUUUGACAUAUCAAGGAAUAUAACUUCCCAUUCUUGUGGUUGUACAUUAUGUGACUUUAGACUGGUUGUGGUGUAUUCAUAUAUGAACAGGAAAUUUAUGUCCUAUUCAUUCUACUGUCUUUCCCAUUCCCAUCCCCCCUCACUUCCCCCUCAUUACCCACCUUCCAAUCUGGUGAGUCUCCACUCCCCUCCCCUGCCUAUUAUGAAUCAGCAUCCAAAUAUCAGAGAGAACAUCAGGCCUUUGGUCUUUUGGUUUUUUUUGAUUAAUA